AACGCACCUUGCGCUCCUUGGUAUUCCUUGGAGCAUGCCUGUUUGAGUAUCAUGAAAUUCUCAAGGCAAGUCUUUUGUUAAUUCAAUCGGCUUUGCUUUGGACUUGGGGGUCUGCAGAUUCACGUCUGCUCCUCUUAAAUGCAUUAGCUGGAUCUCCAUGAACUUGGUUCCACUCGGCGUGAUAAGUAUCACUCGCUGAGGACACCCGUAAAAAAGGUGGCCAGGCUUGAGGAUGAGCCGCUUCUAAUAGUCCAUUCGCUUGGACAAUUUAUUUAUGAUCUGAUCUCAAAUCAGGUAGGACUACCCGCUGAACUUAA
rnacentral:misc_RNA from 1 species